GGUGGGUCUGUUUCUAGUGCAUG
rnacentral:miRNA from 11 species